rnacentral:RNase_P_RNA from 1 species
CAAGCAGAUUGGGCAGUUGCAUAGCUUACGCUAUGAGGAAAGUCUGAGCCUCACAGAGCAGGAUAACGGCUAACGGCCGUCGAGGGAUAACCUUAGGGACAGUGCAACAGAGAGAUACCGCUGAUUUAUCAGUAAGGGUGGAAAGGCGAGGUAAGAGCUCACCCGCAACUCGGAAACGAACUUGCGAUGUAAACCCUAUCUGAGGCAACACCGACUGAAUAGGCUUGCUCGGCUUAUUAUUUCGACGGGUGGCUAAAGGUUCGGGGCAACCUGUGCCGUAGAUAGAUAAUUGCCUUCAAUGACAGAACUCGGCUUACAGAUCUGCUUGUAAC